UACGGGGGGGGCAAGCGUUGUUCGGAAUUACUGGGCGUAAAGGGCGCGUAGGCGGCCUCGUAAGUCCUGUGUGAAAUCCCCCGGCUCAACUGGGGAACUGCACAGGAAACUGCGAGGCUUGAGUUCGGGAGAGGGAAGCGGAAUUCCGGGUGUAGCGGUGAAAUGCGUAGAUAUCCGGAGGAACACCGGUGGCGAAGGCGGCUUCCUGGACCGACACUGACGCUGAGGCGCGAAAGCCAGGGGAGCAAACGGG
rnacentral:rRNA from 1 species